UGAUGCAGAUUGGUGCCUAACACGUGCAAGGUUGUCUCAAUGGUCAUGUUUUGCAACCAGGGAUGAUUCUUCUGCUGUAAAUUUCAUGAGCCCUCUCCAUCAUCAUGAACUCCAGGCCUACUACAAAUGUCUUGGCUCAAACAAGGCUUGGUAAUGGUGUCCACCGAGGGUCCAAAACAAACUCCUCAUGCCUUUAUUCAAUAGCAACAAAGCAAUGCAAACGGUAUGGCCAAGUGUUGGAUGGUUAGCUGCAGCAAUAAGGCCAGAUUUGUUGCAUCAUGGACUCUUCAAUAGUUAAACCAUGCAUUUCCUUUGGCUUGGUGAGUUUCUUUGGUUAGAACCAUGAGUGACAAGGUUGUGCUGUUAGAGCUCUUUUGAGAUUGAUUUGGAACAGACCACAUUCAAAGGUUAUUGAUGCCAAAAUGUCAAGAUAACAUGGCAGGUGCACAAUGGGACUUGCUUGCAAUGGAAGAAACCAAGAAAAAUUGACAACAAACAUGAAGAUUGGGUGAUGUAUUGAAGAAAAAGGCCAAGCCAAGUUAGAUGGGCAAGAGCAAGUGAAAGUUGACUUUGGUCAAAGUUGAACAAAAGUCAACUGUUGACCAAAGUCAACAAAUGGUCAAAAUGUAUUUUCUUUUUGAUUUCUUUGUAAAUGGAUAUUCAAUGGAAAAUUAUGGGUGAAUUUAGGGUUUAAUGGAUUUGGGUUGACUUUGGUCAAAGUUGUCCAAAAAGUCAACUAUUGACCAAAGUCAACAGUUUGUCAAAAAGGCCAAAUUUUGUAUUUUCUUGUAUGGAAUCACAUGUAAUGGUUUAAAAUGGAUGAAAUGGAUUGGAAUGGUUUGAAAAAAUGAUUGGAGAUUGUUUUCAUAA